rnacentral:rRNA from 1 species
UACGUAGGGUGCAAGCAUUAAUCGGAUUUAUUGGGCGUAAGGGGCGCGUAGGCGGAAAUGUAAGUCAGAUGUGAAAUCCCGGGGCUCAACCUCGGAACAGCAUUUGAAACUACAUAUCUAGAGGAUAGGCGGAGAAAAUAGAAUUCCACAAGUAGCGGUGAAAUGCGUAGAUAUGUGGAAGAAUACCGGUGGCGAAGGCGGUUUUCUAGCUUAUGCCUGACGCUGAUGCGCGAAAGCAAGGGGAGCAAACGGG